UACGUAGGGGGCAAGCGUUGUCCGGAAUCAUUGGGCGUAAAGAGCUCGUAGGCGGCUCAUUGCGUCAACCGUGAAAUCCUGCUGUUCAACGGCAGGUCUGCGGUCGAUACGGGUGGGCUGGAGUUCGGUAGGGGAGACUGGAAUUCCUGGUGUAGCGGUGAAAUGCGCAGAUAUCAGGAGGAACACCGGUGGCGAAGGCGGGUCUCUGGGCCGAUACUGACGCUGAGGAGCGAAAGCGUGGGGAGCGAACAGG
rnacentral:rRNA from 1 species